UCACUACCUACCGGUAUGAUAUAAACUGGUGCAGGCCCUAGCUGAAAUCACUUCCAUGGUUUUCACCAGUGUGGAUUUCACUUUUUAUACCAGAAUACGCAAAGCUACAGAACAGAAAUGGAGUCUCCAGCUGCCAGAAGAUUACAAAGGGUAGAGCCAAGGAUGGGGUUUGAAAUCAAGGCCAUGGUUUUGACUUCGAUAUGUUUCUUCUAUGCCAUAGUCAUAUUCCUCACAGCGGCGAUUAUCAGCACGGCAUCAACAUCGGCAAUGACAACAGUUUCCGCGAUAUUAAAGCGUUACCAAUUCUGGAACAUUGAGCACCAGACCAAACUGGACGUGAAGCGAACAAGAUCACGCUCGACGAAACAUAUUAACCAGGGCUGAUAAACCUCUGAACAAUCAACACGGGAAUCUCAAAAACACUUACAUCUUCAAUCACAGGACCAAAUGUUCUGAUGAUUUGUACGAUGAUAAUGUAUUUUUAACUAAAAAACGAGGUGCAUAAUCAAUCGAUCAAUUUUUCUACUGCAAUCCGCACCAGAUUGAUAGCGCUGCCUCAACCGCUUGUAAGCGGCUCCAAUACUGUAGGAUUGUACGUGGACUUUGAUACAAAUGGAAACAGGAUAUGAUACUGUGAACCGGACGAUACAAAGGUUUUUAAUUUUUUGUUUUCCAUCUAGUGCAGACCUUUUGAGAUAAUUUGGACACCGAUGUCCAUGCACUAACGGAAAAGACUAUAAUGGAACUUCGAUGGUCACUGAACUGAACUGCAAUAAGAGGGGGGAAUGUUGAUGACAAUAGAAUGUGCGGAAUUCUGCUUAAACUGUCAAAUGAGUUAUGAGAGUGAAUUGUGAUUAUUAGACGUGUCAGAUUAAUUUCAUUUCUUACAAGUGAUUAUGUGCGAAAUUUGGGAAACAUGUUUUGAUACAAGAUCUUUAACUAGAAAACUAUCUUGAGGGACUUCAUAUGUUUUGAUCUCUCUUUGAUAAACUGGUUAAAUUACCGAUUUUUAAAAUUGUAUGCAUGAAAAUAUUGAUUUGUAUAUGCACAUUUGAGAGGAUGAGUGAUCAAUUAUAAUGAAGACAAGUGACACAGUCGUUUGAAAUAUACAUUGUAUGACGACGAGAGUGAGAGAGAGACAGAGAGAGAGAGAGAGAGAGAGAGAGAGAGAGAGUUAUUAUUUGUGUAAAAUGAAGGAAAUCGUGAGCAUAUUGACGAGUAAUUACUGUUGAUUCGUGUUCAGGUGUUGAGUGAGCGAGACGGGUGCUUAAUUUUGUAUUGUUAUAUUCUGUUGCUUUUCACAGAGAAAUUGUUAAUAAAUUACAUAAUAUAA